UUUUACUUUUUGAUUUUUUCUAAUUUUUUUUUAUCCUUUCUCUCAUUUUUUGUAUUUUAUUUUUUGUUUUUCCUUGUUUUCUUCUUUUUUUAAAUUAAAAGUUUUGGGCCAUUGGGCACUUUUACUAACAAAUAAAAUUUACAAAACAAUAAAGGUCCAACAACCCUAAUCGGGUUAAAAACUCAACCAAUAAAACUAAAAACCUAUCUUCUAUAAAUUUGUCCGAAAAUAUCUAAAGAAAAAGAAAAAUAAUAAAAAGAGGAAAAGGAAAGUGAAUUGUCAAUUGUCAUCUUCAUCUUUGCUGUAAUCUUCCCUCCAAUUCUGAAAAUGGCGAUGUAAGUAGCUUUCUUAUUGUUAAUCAAGCUCAAAUCGAGAAAUGCAUGAUGAAUUUUGGGCAUUUUCAUCUAAGGUGUUAAAAAUCUCACCAACACCAUGAAAUUGUCCCAAUCGAAGACUUCAACUCAUAUAGCUUCCAAUCCGAACUUAUUACAACAAGAUAAGUUUUCUUACUUUUACCCCUAAUUUAUUUCUCAGUUAACAUCAAAUCUCAUCAAUUUCAUCUCUCCGACAGAUUGAGCUUAACUAAAAGUCGAUACCACUGCCUAAGAAGAAACCAUUUAAUGAUUAUUUGACCUUAAUCAGAAACUUGAGCUCCGUAGAUCUUAUUGAGGUAAUUUUGCUUUUAAUUGAAACUACCAUUGUAGUCUGUAGAUGAUAAUUGUUGUUGUUGAUUGUGUCUGAACACAUCUACAUCUUGUGCUAUGAAAUUUGUUAUUCGCAGAUCAUUAACUUUUUCUUGUACCUCGUAACAGAAGCGAACCCAGGAUUUGAAGUCUUUGGGUGCAUCGGUAUUGUCAAUGGCGCGCAUAAGCCUCAAAGCAAGACUCAAAAUGUGUUAAGCACUCGUAUCACUUAAUAUGCAACUUAGGUUCUAAUUUCUAAUAUAUACUGUCCUUGUCAUGAGGUUUUCUUAAAAGACGACUAUUUCACUUUAUCAAAAAAAUAAAAAUUCAUAUAUUUGUCAUAAUCUUGGACUAGACAUAUAUUUAUAUUUUUUUCUCUUUUUGCUUUUUUUUUGGUUAAAUUUCACGUUUUAUUUAUACUUUGUGCUUAAACACAAUAGACCGUGAAGUUUUUUUUACGCUUGUUGCUUUUGAUAAUACUGUGGAGCCCAAUAUUAUCUUAAGACAUUAGAAAAAUUUUCAGUGUCGAUUAAGAAAUAUUAUCAUAUUCAAUUGAUCGUCAAAGAUAUAAACAAUACUGAAAAAAUAAAUAUAUAGAACAAGUAUGAGUUCUAAGCUAAUAGCUUUACUUUCUUAUAAUAUGAGGUUUAUUUUUAAGAUGGUUAGAUAAUUAUUUGUAGUAGCUCAAUGGUCAAAAGGGAUUCACUUCAUGGGAUGGUUGCAGAUUCGAAUCCUCAUUCCAACAUUUUAAUGUUAUAAAUUUAGUAAUAGAAAAAAUAUUAUGCUACCAGGGAUUGGUCGCAUGGACGAAAGCAUUGGCUUUAACCAAUGCAUCAAUGGACGGAAGCAUUGGCUUCAACCAUCUCAUCAAGGUGCACUAGCAUUCAACUUAAUGUAGUAGUAAGCCUUUAAUCUGAAGAUUGAAAAUAAAAGAGAAAAUGUUGCGCGAUCCCGGGAUCGAUCCCUGGUCACGUGGAAGGAUAUGAUGUCUUCAGCCAGCGCGGGAAGGUGUACUAGCAUUCAUUUGGGGUGCAUUAUUAACUAUAUCUCAAUUUCUGAAAGUAUAUACACAUGUAUACAUAUAAUUUUUUUUGACGUUAACAGGUGCACGUGCACCCCCACUAAUAGCUGUGGGUCCGCAUCUGCAAUCACAGAUCUAAAGAUGUUUUGUCUGAGAAUAGAGCUCAGACCAAAGAGAUAUAUAAAUUGGCCAAAUGCUACAUCUAUUUGAUGCUUUAACACUAGUAUUAUAAUAAGAUUAAAGGGUUCAUUACGGAUUAAGUCUAAACAGUAGAAAUUAAUGCAUAUUAACUGGUGGUUGUUUUGUUGCAAAACAAUAGGAAUUGUUCUGAUGUUUCAUCCACCUCUUUUCCAUCCAUUUCAAUCUCAUUGUUCACACUCAUAAGAUUUAUAGGGCUUUAUUUUUUUGUAGAUCCUACGCAUUUGAUUGACACUCAUCAGUUAUUUUUUUCAACUUUUAUAAUCCAUUUUCCUUCAAAAACAAAAAAAGGCCCAAGGAAACCCCAAGCUCAUAAUGACAUUUAUUUACCCUGUGAUUAUAGUGACUUCUCCAGAAGCAGAGGCGAACCCAGGAUUUGAAAUUUAUGGGUUCACCGGUGUUGUCAAUGACGCGUAUAAUCCUCAAAGCAAGACUCAAAAUGUGUUAAGCGCUCGUCUCACUUAAUGUGCAACUUAGGUUCUAAUUUCUAAUACAUACUUGCCCUUGUCAGUUAAUGAGACUUUCUUAAGAGACGACUAUUUCACUUUAUCAAAAACAAAAAAAAUUUCAUAUAUUUGUCAUUCAUGCUUAUAUUAUUAGUCUUAGACUAGACAUAUAUUUAUAUUUUUUCUCUUUUAGCCUUUUUUGGUUAAAUCUCACGUUUUAUUUGUACUUGGUGCUUAAACACAAUAGACCGUGAAGAUUUUUUGUGCUUGUUGCUUUUGAUAAUACUGUGGAGCCCAAUAUUAUCUUAAGAUAUUAGAAAAACUUUCAGUGCCGAUUAAGAAAUAUUAUCAUAUUCAAUUAGUCGUCAAAGAUAUAAACAAUAUUGAAAAAAUAAAUAUAUAGAACAAGUAUGAGUUCUAAGAUAAUAAUUUUACUUUCUUAUAAUAUGAGGUUUAUUUUUAAGAUAGUUGGAUAAUCAUUUGUAGUAGCUCAAUGGUCAAAGGGAAUAAGCCUUUAAUUUGAAGAUUGAAAAUAAAAGAGAAAAUGUUGCACAAUUCAGGGAUCGAUCCCUGUUCGCGUGGAUGGAUGUAAUGUCUUCAGCCAGCGCGGAAAGAUGUACUAGCAUUCAUUUGGGGGUGCACUAUUAACUAUAUCUCAAUUUCUGAAGGUAUAUACACAUGUAUACGUAUAAUUUUUUUCGACGUUAAUGGGUGCACGUCCACCCCCACUAAUAGCUGUGGGUCCGCCUCUGCCUUGUAAGAGACUAAAAACCUUGAUUUGUGUACUGCAUGUUUGAUUGUUGGAUGUCGUAGCAUUGUUGUUGUUUAGACAGGACCAAAAUCCAUAUUUUGCAUCUUUCUAAUUCUUAAACUUGGAAGUUGUUCCUUGUCCAUAUUCAACAAGAUCUUUGCUUUAGUUGAUAAUUGUUGAUAAUUGAAAAAUAAUAAUUGUUAGUACCUGCAAAAGCAAAGACACAGUUAACUAAAAAAUCGGCAAGCUGAUUACCUUGUCUGUAAAUGUGUUGGACCACCACCUUUCUUCCCUUUAUUAGAUUUUGAAUCCUCCUUAUUUCAUUAGAAAUACCCCAUGGAAUCUCCCACUGAUUUGUAACAAAUUUAUGAACAGCCAAAGAAUCAGUUUCGAAGCAUAAAGACAUCAAAUUAUGCUUAAUACAAUAUUCCAAUCUCAAUCGUAAUGCCAAAGCUUCAGCCACUAAAUUGAUUUCAUUAGGAAUUCUUCUAAUUUUAGCAUGAAUUAACUCUCCACUGUGAUUCCUAACACAAAAAGCUUCUAAACUUGGGUCAGGAUUGCCCUUCACAUCAGCAUCGAAAUUACAUUUGUACUGAUUUAUAUUAGGAAAAUUCCACUUCACCACAACACUUCUCAGGGUAGGCCUAUAUUCUGAUAAAAAACUCACUAAAUCCAUCCAAGAAUCUG
rnacentral:lncRNA from 1 species